UACGGAGGGGGCCAGCGUUGCUCGGAAUCACUGGGCGUAAAGGGCUCGUAGGCGGUUUGAUAAGUCCUGUGUGAAAUCCCUUGGCUCAACCAAGGAAUGGCGCAGGAUACUGUCAUACUUGAGGCCGGGAGAGGGAAGCGGAAUUCCCAGUGUAGCGGUGAAAUGCGUAGAUAUUGGGAGGAACACCGGUGGCGAAGGCGGCUUCCUGGACCGGUUCUGACGCUGAGGAGCGAAAGCCAGGGGAGCAAACAGG
rnacentral:rRNA from 2 species